GAACGCUGGCGGCAUGGCUAAAGCAUGCAAGUCGAACGCGAAAGUGGACUUCGGUCCGCAAGUAGAGUGGCGAACGGGCGAGGAAUGCGUUUCUAACGUACCCCGAGCACGAGGAUAGCUAGAGGAAACUCUGGGUAAUACUCGAUAAUCCCGGUGGGUCGCAUGACCCUUCGGGCAAAGCUCCGGCGGCUCGGGAUCGGGAAAUGUGCUAUCAGGUUGUUGGUGGGGUAAUGGCCUACCAAGCCUAAGACGGCUAGCGGGUGUGAGAGCAUGACCCGCCGCAUCGGAACUGAGACACUGUCCGGACUCCUACGGGAGGCUGCAGCAACGAAUCUUCCGCAAUGAGCGCAAGCUUGACGGAGCAAUGCCGCGUGAAGGAUGAAGCCCCUCGGGGUGUAAACUUCUGUCAGGGUUUAGCAAGCUCUGAGCAAACCCAAAGGAAGGGGCGACUAACUCUGUGCCAGCAGUCGCGGUAAUACAGAGGCCCCAAGCGUUAAUCGGAGUCACUGGGCUUAAAGGGUGCGUAGGCGGAUCUGUAAGUGUCUUGUGAAAUCCCACUGCUCAACGGUGGAACUGCUUGGCAAACUACAGGUCUUGAGCUCGACAGAGGCAAUCGGAACUCUAGGUGUAGCGGUGAAAUGCGUAGAUAUCUAGAGGAACGCCAAAGGUGAAAACAGAUUGCUGGGUCGAUGCUGACGCUGAGGCACGAAAGCGUGGGUAGCGAACGGGAUUAGAUACCCCGGUAGUCCACGCCCUAAACGAUGUGUACUAGGUUCCGGAGGUUCUGACGCCAUCGGAGCCGAAGCUAAAGUGUUUAGUACACCGCCUGGGGAGUACGGUCGCAAGGCUAAAACUCAAAGGAAUUGACGGGGGCUCACACAAGCGGUGGAGCAUGUGGCUUAAUUCGAAGCAACGCGAAGAACCUUAUCCAGGGUUUGACAUGUAUGGAUUAGCUCUGUGAAAGCUGAGUGACGCGGUUUUCCGUGGAACAUACACAGGUGCUGCAUGGCUGUCGUCAGCUCGUGCUGUGAAGUGUCGGGUUAAGUCCCUUAACGAGCGAAACCCCUGCCGCUAGUUGCCAUCAGGUUAUGCUGGGGACUCUAGCGGGACUGCCGGUGUCAAACCGGAGGAAGGUGGGGAUGACGUCAAGUCAUCAUGGCCUUUAUGCCCUGGGCUGCACACGUGCUACAAUGGCGUAUACAAUGCGAAGCAAUACCGCGAGGUGGAGCAAAUCGCAAAAAGUACGCCCCAGUUCGGAUAGCAGUCUGCAACUCGACUGCUUGAAGUUGGAAUCGCUAGUAAUCGCGUAUCAGCAAUGACGCGGUGAAUAAGUUCCUGAGCCUUGUACACACCGCCCGUCAAGUCAUGGAAGCCGGGAGCGCCCGAAGUCG
rnacentral:rRNA from 1 species